rnacentral:rRNA from 1 species
UGCAGUCGAGCGGUAGCACAGAGAGCUUGCUCUCGGGUGACGAGCGGCGGACGGGUGAGUAAUGUCUGGGAAACUGCCUGAUGGAGGGGGAUAACUACUGGAAACGGUAGCUAAUACCGCAUAACGUCGCAAGACCAAAGAGGGGGACCUUCGGGCCUCUUGCCAUCAGAUGUGCCCAGAUGGGAUUAGCUAGUAGGUGGGGUAAUGGCUCACCUAGGCGACGAUCCCUAGCUGGUCUGAGAGGAUGACCAGCCACACUGGAACUGAGACACGGUCCAGACUCCUACGGGAGGCAGCAGUGGGGAAUAUUGCACAAUGGGCGCAAGCCUGAUGCAGCCAUGCCGCGUGUAUGAAGAAGGCCUUCGGGUUGUAAAGUACUUUCAGCGAGGAGGAAGGCAUUGUGGUUAAUAACCACAGUGAUUGACGUUACUCGCAGAAGAAGCACCGGCUAACUCCGUGCCAGCAGCCGCGGUAAUACGGAGGGUGCAAGCGUUAAUCGGAAUUACUGGGCGUAAAGCGCACGCAGGCGGUCUGUCAAGUCGGAUGUGAAAUCCCCGGGCUCAACCUGGGAACUGCAUUCGAAACUGGCAGGCUAGAGUCUUGUAGAGGGGGGUAGAAUUCCAGGUGUAGCGGUGAAAUGCGUAGAGAUCUGGAGGAAUACCGGUGGCGAAGGCGGCCCCCUGGACAAAGACUGACGCUCAGGUGCGAAA